rnacentral:lncRNA from 1 species
UUUACAGAGAGCCCCAACAAUGGCUACCAGCACCACACCCUCGUCCCUCAUGCUAACGUACGCCUCCUCCUACGUGCACCCACAAGACCUCACUCCCUCCCUCGUCUCCUUCCAGCCAGAGCCCCUCUUCAAAACCCUCUGCCUUUGCCCGCUGGCUCUGAGGCCUCGCGAGAUAAAACCAAGCAAAUGUGCCAAUUCCGAGCCUCAACGAGUGCCCGCGGCGGCUCUGACGGCGGAGGCAGAGGUAUCUGAGGAUGUGGAUGAGAACGAAGAAGUGAAAGGAGGUGAUGGGUCUGUUGCUGUUGCUGUUUCUUCAAAGCCCAAGAAAGGGAAGGCUGCAUUGCUUUUGAAGAGAGACAGAGUGAGUAUUUUUCUGGUUUUCUGCUUCAAGUUCCGAUUCUUCAUUGUUUUGGGGUGAAAUUUGAUUUUUUGGGUUAUCUCGUUGGUGGGUUUUGCUUGCUUUCGGUUUGGAAUACGGUUUUGGGAUUAAAAUUCAUGUGUUGUUCUUACAUUUAGUUUCUAUUCUGAUGAACAGCGGUUAAUUUAGCGAAUAAUUGUUCGUUAAGCUUCUUUAAGUUCUAAAAAUGAAGGAUUGAUAUGAGUAAUUAUCACCAUUUCGUUAUCUUGGAGAAGAGACUAGUUGUGCAACAUUUGGUAUUUACAUCCUUCAAGUUUGAUGGUUUUCGCAUGUUUUUGCAUAAUUAUAAAGGUUGAGAAUUCUCCAAAGUUGCGUUUGAUAGUUUGGUUCUAGUUUAUUUUUAUGUUUUUAGAUAUAUUCUUGCAAUGUCCUAUUUUCAAGUUCUUCCAAGAUUUCGGUAGUGAUUCAAGCGCUCGGUUGUCUUCUUCUGUAAAUGUCAGACAAGGUCCAAAAGAUUCUUGGAAAUUCAGAAAUUGAGGGAAACCAAAAAAGAGUAUGCGCUGCAGCCUGCCAUUGCUUUACUGAAAGAAAUGACAAAUACGAAAUUUGUAGAAACUGCUGAAGCCCAUUUCCGCCUCAACAUUGAUCCAAAAUAUAAUGACCAGCAGCUAAGAGCAACUGUGAGUUUUCUAAUCUUGUUGGUCAGAUGUAUGUUUAGUUAUCAAUGCUUAACACUAUAUUAUAUCCUUUCACUUAUUGUGGAAUUCUUCUACUAGGUAAACCUGCCCCAAGGGAACUGGACAGACUCAAAGUGGCUGUUCUUACUCAAGGUAGUUACGAUUCUCAAUUUCUCACCUCUGCACUACUGUCCCUGGUGGAGAAAGAGUAAUUAUAUCUCGCAUUCAGUAUGAGCUAAGGAGAUGUAUAAAGUAAUCCACGUAUUUGAACCUAGUGGAUACAAGUUGAAGAUUUCAACCUAGAGAAUAAAAAGUACAGGCGCAUAGUAGUACCGGAGCAUAACUAUGCGGGCAAUUUCUGCAUUAGCAUGUAUUAGGUAGGUGUCCAUUAUUCUGAAAAUAUGUUAUCUGAAUUCUCUAUAGGGGUAAUUGUUUUGGCAAUUAAGCGUAUAUGGCAAAAACAAGUAACAACCUUAUUGAGUGGUGUUUUGUGCUCUUUAUGCUACUACCUUGGUUGAUAAGAACAGAAGAAAUACUUUCUUGGCUGAAUCUAUGCAUCUCUAAGUGUUUUUUUAUUUUCUGCCACGGGGACAUUUUGCAAAUGAAUUAGUUGGAGGGUUUAGUAUAGUAUUCUCAUUUCUUCCAUGAAGUGGCCUUGAAAUGAUUGAUGAGACAUUGUUCCUCUACUCUUGAUGAAUUUUCUGUACCUGCCAAUUUCUAGUUAGUGUAUCAUACUCCUUUUGAACUUCAAAUUGGAUUGGAUCAUUACCAUUUCUCUUGUAUGUAGUCUUAAUAGUAUUUCAUGUAAGGUAUAGUCACUUUCUUCUCUGAGUUUAAAUUUUCCUAUACUUUCUUCUUCCUGAUGAAAAGACGAUCUCUAAGUCAUUUGAGUCCAAAGGAGGUAUAUAUUUUAGUAAUUAUAAGGUUUUCUUAACCUUUCUUAAGAAUAAGUAAAAGGUUUGAUAUGCGAUAUGGUUUACCUAAUCUAUAAGAUUUCUUGUAGUUCAAAACACAUGCAAUCAGAUUGCAUAUAAAAAGUGUGGAUUUGAAAUUGUUAAGGAUUGUAUCCUCCCAAGUGAUGUCCGGUAUCCUUAUUAAUUUGCUGCUAUCGAUAUAUAGAGUGGAUGAACAUGAUUUUCAAACAAUUUGGACUUGUCUAACCAACUUUAAGUAACGAAGUCUGAGUCAAGAGGAAAGUUUCAUUCAAACAAUCUGUAUCUGCAGCUAUUGAAGUCAAUGAUAGUGUAUUGUCCCAACUUAUAUGGGGCUUGGAACCUAAUCGAUCCUGAACUUCUAUUGUUCAAGUAUUUGUGUUUUUGUAACUUUAAAAAUGGAACAAGCCAGCAGUUAUUUCCGUUAACAAUCACGACCUAAUUGAUCCUGAACUUCUAUUGUUUAUUUGAUUAUCCGCAGAGAACAUUUUAUUCUUUGAAAAAGUUGCAUGCUAAGAAGAGGAAGAUUGUUGAUAGAAGAGCCUCUAAGAGUCGCAUGAUAAGGUAUCAAUAGAUUCUUCAGUUCCCUAUUUGAAAUUGCUGUGAUUUUGUUUUGGAAUAUCUUGGAGCACUGUUGAGCAAACUAGACCAAAUUGUUGAAGGCUUAUUGCAUUAUGCGUUUGCAGGUACAAUGUUUAUGAGAACACAUUAAAUUUCAUGGCUCCAAAGACCAUGGCCGUUUCUCCUAUGCUUCCUGAGCUCAAUAAUUUGUUCGGGUUGAAUAUGCAGAAACCAGCUUCCGUAGUGUAGUAGCGAUGCAAGGCUGAAUGAGCUGUAUAGUCCUUAGAUCUCAGGCUAAGAAAUUGUCUGCUUUUAAUUUAUUUGAUAUAUUAUUCUAAUAUUUGUUGUACUAAUAUUUAUGCAAUUUACACAUUUUUUCAAUGGGAGCCGAGCAUGAUUUUGUUGUAAAUGACAGUUAAUAUCUGUAAAUUUGACAUUUAUAAGCACAUAUGCUGUUUUUGCUUUCCCCGGUGCCGAAAUGUUUUCCACCAAUUCGAAAAAUUGAUUCUUGCCCGGUAUUGCGUAUGUCAAAGUCCUUUCCUUAUGUGUACAAUCAAUUUUUUUCUUCCAGUUAUUUACUGCUAGUAUACAUACAACCAUCUGUUUAUUUUCUCUGGUACGAGAUUUUAUGCAAUCAGUGGCAGGAAAGAAAAAUUCUGAAGUAUCGAUAAUGUUGGAUGUAUUUUAUGCUAUAUUUAUGCAAUAUUUGAUGAUGUUGAACACAUUUGAACUUCGAUAUUUUGAAGGCAGAAAACGUCUUGAAAGCAAGGAGGGAAUCCAAAGAUAUGUCAGUAUCAAGUAAAAUUACAAACUCAUGGAUGGCUUGUGGACUAUUGUCGCUUCUUUUUCUGAGAGAUGCAUGGCUUGUGGACUAUUGUCGCUUCUUUUUCUGACAGAUGGAGGACCAAACUACAAGAGCAAGCGUGAAAAAUAAGCCGGCAGCUGUGAGGAGCAGCUUCCAGCCUCCGAGGGUGCAGUUGUUGCUGGCAGCCCUCAUCCUUACAAUUGUGUAAUCAGGUUCACCCUCUUGCCCUUCUUCUUUGCCUGAAAAAUAUACAAAUAACAUAAAAUUUAUGUUUUUGAAUUGAAUACAGAUGGGCUUGGAAGUGUUUGGAUGGAGUGUAAUUCAUUGCAAUAAAACACAGCAUACCUGUGUCUUCUUCAUCAGUGUCCAUGAUGAGGCGAUUAAGCAUUCCUUGUUUACGGGAAUCAAAAUUUUUUUCAGCAUAUUCUUUAGAGAAACCAAGGAUGUAUAUUCCUGGUUUAUGCUCCCACAUCGACAAAUCUCCACCGAUGACAAAUGGAUAAUGAGGAUCUGAUUUGGUAUUAUGUUGAGUACUUAUCAUCAUAUUAUUCUGGUGCUCUUGCACAAGCUCGACACCAAACUCCUUUACCCGAUACAGCUCAGAAAAUCCGGCCAUUACCGAAACAACCACUUGAUCUCCACAUUGUAAUAUUGUUUCACUCUCCAUCCUCCAAUGGCUUAACCAUAUCAUAUCUUCACUAUCUCCUGGAAUUCCAAAGAACAGUGGGGCAUAGAUCCACUUCAGACCCUUGCUCUUGUUACUCACUUUAGUCAUUAUUGGACGAUUCAUACUAUAAUGGUGAUUAUUAGAAUUCUCUUUGGUUGCAUAGGUAGCAAAGAUGUUCAAGCCUCGGAUUCUGUGAGUAGCAGGGAGUAAAGGGACCAUAAAAGAUAUAGAAGACUUGGUACUUUUAUAGCUGAACUGGCGUGGAACCUCAUUCCCAACAAAAAAUGUGCUAAAUAUACCAAAUUGAUACAGUCCCUAUGCAUUUUCCAUGAUCAUCACAACAUUAGUAAGUCAUUUACUUCCCAUUAUAAAUAUAUAUGACUUAUGAGAGAGAGAGAGAGAGAGAGAGAGAGAGAGAGAGAGAGGGGUGCGCACCUGGACGGGAUUCCAGUUACCCUGAUAUGGCCUUGAACUUUCGAAUGGAGGGAGGUUCAUUCUAAUGGCUGGCAUGGAUCCUAUGUUGAACAAGCUCAAAAGUUUGAUCAUUUCCACAUCAACUCUAUCAAUAGGCUCUAUCUUGUACCAGCACUCCCACUCAACUAGAUUGCAGUUGUCCCACAAAGAAACAUUUUCUUGAAACCCGGAUUGAUAUGUUAUUUUUUUUAAUGAUAUGCAUCCGUUUAAAUUCAUCACUGCUAAAUCCAUCGCUUUGUGUACUUUCGGUAACCCCACAAGCGAUUCGAGCUUCGUACAACCACAGAAAUUGAGAUGAUUGAGCUUCAUCAAACCUUUGAUGAAAACUGGCAGAGUACAAAUUGGAUUCUCAUUUAAAUAUAGUCUUUGUAUUGAGGAUAGACUACUUAAAUCCCCACGAAAUGCAUCAUCAGAAAGAUUGCAGCUACUGAGAUUCAACUCUACCAAAGAGCAUGGAAAAUAACUCAAGAUACUUGAACUUGUUUCUGGCCAUACAUCACGUAUUGGAAUUCCAUCGAUUUUAAGCACUUUCAGAGACUCCAUCCUCCGCAUCAUCUCGAAUGGAAACUCAUCAAGAUUUGAGCAACCAGAUAAAAUGAGUGUUUCAAGUGAUUUAAGCAUACACAUGCUCUUCGGAAGCAUCCUAAGAUUCUUGCAAUUCUUCAUAUUCAAGUACACGAGUCUCUCCAGGUUUCCAAUGGAUUCAUGAACAACAAUCAGGCUUGUGCAAUCUACAAGAAUCAAUUCUUCUAGACUGGGGCAUUGUGAGAAGUCCAUGAUUUCAGUGAGGCCAUGAGAAUGGCUCACAUCAAGGAUCUUCAACGAUGGAAGAAACUGUGGAAAAUAAAAACAAACAAAGAAAAAUUUAUUUGUGUAGGAGUUAAAGAAUUAAAACCUAAAGAAAGAAGGAAAAAGAAAUUGAUAAGCGUACUUUUGUUCCUUUGAAGACUUGUCUCAAGCUGCUAUAUUGCAUUUCAAGAAAUACCACUUUCUCCAAAGAAAAAUCUAUAGGUAUAGAAUCCAAAGGAAAUUGAAGCCAACAUAACCAUCUUAAUCCUGUAGGGAAAUCUGCAUAACAUCCAUCCAGUUGUACAUGACUAAGAUGCAGUAGUUGUAAAUUGCGCAUCCUUUCAAAUGCAUUGGUUUCCAAGACUGUCUCAUUUGUGUUUAUUGAACUGUUUGCAGGGUGCAUAUGCAUAUUCAGGACAAGACCUUGGAUUUUUUCUGUACCCUAAAAGAUAAAAAGGAAACAUUAAUAUGGAUAAUUUUCACAAGAAAUACAUAUAUAGACAUCAAAGGCAUGUUUCUUACAUUCUUUUCCUUCAAUACUUCGAAAGAAUCCUUGUAGCACCAUAGUCUACUGCGUUUUCCAGGCUCUUCUGAUUCGUGGCGAACAAUUUCUCUUCCCAUGUCACGAAUCAUGUCAUGCAUUUGCACGUUGUUGCAUCCAUCAAUUGUCACCAAGCAUCUAUCAAGCAGAUUUUGAAUCCCAACGAUUGUAUAGAAAUCACAUCCAUUGAGUCUUCUAACAAUGUAGCUUUUGUUCCUUCCUAUUAGAAAACAAGCAAUGUGGAGGAAUAAUUUCCGGUCAUGGUCAUCUUGUAAACUGUCAUAGCUUAUUCUUAGUUUAUUCAUGAUUUCACCAUUAGGGAAAACUUGUAGCUUCUCCAAUGCACUUUCCCAUACAUCUAUACUUUCCCCUGAUAAAGAAGAGCCCAAAACUUUUAGAGCUAGUGGAAGUCCGUCGCAGUAGUGUACAACCUUUUCUGAAUAUUCCAUGUAACCUCUAAGGGGAUGGUCCUGGCGAAAAGCAUGCCAACUGAAAAGCUCUAAUGACUCAUUGUCAUGCAAAGUUCCAACUUUGUGCACCUUCGUAACUUGAUGCGCCUUUAGCAACCUUUCGCCUAGUUGUUAUAAGUAUCUUACUUCCCGGAUAAAACCGAUCUUUCAUCUUUAGCACUGCAUCUAAUUGGUCCAUAUGGUCCACAUCAUCAAGAACAAGAAGCACUCUUCUAGAGCUUAUGGCACUUUCAAUCUUUAUUAAUCCCUCACUAACACCAUGUAUUUUCACUUCUCUGCCGUUCAAAAUAUCAAAAAGAAGUUGCUUUUGUAUUUGAACUAAGCCAUUUGGUCGAUCUGCUGUUUCUCUGAUAUUUUCAAUGAAACUACUUCCUUUAAAGCUUCUAAAGUUUGAAUUGUAAACAUGUUUUGCAAUGGUUGUCUUCCCUAUUCCAGACAUGCCAUACACAACCAGUAUACCGACAUCGGUUGAUCCAUCUUGUAACCACAAAUUGAUCUCUUCGACUUGAGAUUCGAUUCCAAUCAAUUUUGGUUCAACACUCAAUGAUGUACGACUUAACUUGUCUCCAACCACUUUAACAAUUUUUUCGAUAAACUUUGAUUCAUACCUAAGCAUUUACAAACAAAAUGACAAAUAAAUCAAACAUGUCAUGUCUCACAGAAGUAUUGAAUGAAUGAAUAAUGAAUUGGGGAAUUUAGAUAAUUAAUAAAUCAAACAAAUGUUGAUGGCCUUUACUUAAAAAAGAACAAAAGGAAUACAGCACAGAAAGUACAUACAUGCCAAUUUUUUCCACACCUGCUUUUGAAAAAUUUUAAGCAACUGCAAACCAGUAGACUAACAUGGAAAAUGACUAAUCCUUAAGUUGAGUCAAGUGUGAUUUCUUUCAGUUGACCUAAAUUAGGAUUAUUAUUUACUGAGGUUGAAUAAAAAAUAUAUAAAAAUCAAGGUCCCUACGGAUCAUGUUAUCAAAUUAACUGAAGAAAGAGGAGAAAUGGAGAAAAUGAAAGCUACCCAUCUGCUUGAUUUUGUAAGACCAUGCCUGCUAGAUCUGCAACCUCUGCAACUGCCUCCCUCCAUCCCUUCACCUUUUCCGGCGACUGAGUUUUCUGGUGUCUAGCAAUUGCUUUUCCAAUACUUCCCGUCUGCUUCCUCAUGUCGGACGGAUCGACAUGGUAGAAGACUGGUAAAACUACAUGGUCCGAGGUAGUCCUCUUGCGUUCAAGGAUCAACACAAGCUCAUCAAGGCACCAUUUGGAUGACGCGUAAUCUUUCGAAAACACGACAACAGAAGUUCGUGACUGCCAGAUCGCUUUCUGCAGUCCUGGCUUUAUAUCUUCUCCUCUCUCAAGUUCAUCGUCGUCUCGGAACGUGUUAAAUCCUGCGUUGUUCAAGGCUGUGUAGAGGUGGUCGGUAAAAGUCUUGCGAGUGUCGCCUCUGAAGCUCAAGAACACGUCGUGGCGAUAACCCCGAAAAGUUUUGGAAUCAGAAGAGGUUCCUUCAGAUGUUCUCACAAGAGCCAUUGAUGUGGAUCGAUGGACAAACAGCUCUUUGCAAGCCGCAUUGCAAUUGUCUGUGUGCAGGGUAAAUAUUUAAUUGGGUCAUGCCUAUCUUGUUCUUCUUUUUUUUUCUGUCUUAUGGGUCAUUCCCAUCUACUCCCAGGAAAAUUUACAAACAAUUAUAAAAUGGAUCGUUCACAUGUAUUGACCCAAAAAGCAUUUCUUUUAAGUCAUGGUCGGCCACUAGUGGCAAAGAUGAAAAGAAAAAGGAAAGAGCACUUCUUGUUUUAUAUGUGAUUUUAUAAAUUAUAAUUUAUAUUAAUCGUCGUCAAGAUCUAAAAUAUCAAUAAUAUCGGUAGUUCAAAAAUACAAAAAUUUUGAUGAAAAUAUUAGGAUAUUAUCGAUAUCGAUAAAAAUUGAAUAAAAACCACGGAAAUUGUAAGAAAAACUUGGAAAUUUUUAUUGAAACUUUGCAGGAUGUUUAUUUAGUCAAUUAUAUAUUAGUUUAUCACAAAAAAUUGGAAGGAAAUGCAUUGCAAGAUGAAUUUAACUGAUUUAAGUUGAUUAUAUAGCGAGUUGGCAAACAGUGUGAGUGUAGAAAAUAUGUAGUAAUUAAUGAAAGAAGUUUAAACACACCAUAAUCAUUUAUAUAUAAUGAAUUAGUACAAUAUUUUACACUUUAUACAUUGCAUGGUAAGAUAUAUGAGUGACUUAGUACCACAUAGAGUUCCUAUCAAGGUCUAAAAUAUUGAUGAUAUCAGAAAUAUCAGUAGUCCAAAAACACGGAAAUUUCGAUGAAAAUAUCGGGAUAAUAUCGAUAUUUUAGACCUCUCGUCACUCACUUUUUUGUGAUAAAAUACGGCACAUUUUGAUAGGUGCUUCAUACCUAUUUCUCGUCCUUGAAAUGUUGAAGUCAUUUCUACCGAUCGUCAAUCCACCAACUAGUGUUACCAAUUGUCCUAAAGAUGAUGCGGUUAUAAGAUAAAAAUUAAAGUAGAACAUCAUAAUAAUGUGACAGUAAUGUUUAGUUACUUUCAUAAGGUAAGUUGGGAAUAACUUGAAUCUGGGUACAUGUAUGGUUGAACUUGAGGUGGUUGAUCCAAUUGUUGUGCAGUUAUAUGUUUUUUGUAUAGUUAUAGGCUGGACCAAAAGAGAACACUUGCGGCAGUGGUUGGUCCAUAAUUCAAAUCGGUCCAUAAUUCAAAUCUUAGGGUCCCAGUGUUAGGUCCAAGUAGAUUUUGUAAAUAUUUUUCUUCUGUUACUGUUUGAGCUACACGUUAAGGAUCUUGUUGGAACAUAUAUUGCACAUAUAUACAAAAUAUAUAAAGUGGCGAGAAAUGUAUAUAAGACACAAUAUUUACGAGGUUCGACAAAUUAUGCCAACGUCCUUGGAGUAACAAUACCAGUUUCUCAUUACAUGAAAUAUAAUUUACAAUGUAAGAAACAAGGGAAAUUGGGAGCAAUUUGCUCUUUGGUGUAUUUGUAUAUUUCCUGAAUGUUUGGCCAUGUGUUUUUUUUUUUUUCCUUCUUUUUUGGUCUCUCACUCCCAUUUGUAAGAAAAUGGGAAACACUUAGUAGACAUAAUGAUGGAGGUGACUUUCUUUUCCUUUUCUUUUCUUUUCUUUUCCCCUCUUUUCCUCUACUCUUCGAAGCUUCCCUCUCCUUUUCCCUUUCUCAUUUUCUUCUUUUCCCUUCUCCUUUUUCUCUAUUCUCGAAAUUUCCUCUCUUCUUUUCCCUUCUUCUUUUCUCUAUUCUCAGGAAAUUUUCUUCUGUUAUUGUUUGAGCUAUACGUUAAGGAUCUUGUUGGAACAUAUUUUGCACAUAUAUACUAAAUAUAUAAAGUGGCGAAAAAUGUAUAUAAAACGCAAUAUUUACGAGGUUCGACAAAUUGUGACAAUGUCCUCGAAGUAGCAAUACUGGUUUCUCAUUACAUGAAAUAUAAUUUACAAUGUGAGAAACAAGAGAAAUUGGGAGCAAUUUGCUCUUUUGGCAUAUUUGUAUAUUUUCUAAAUGUUUGGCCAUGUGCUUUUUUUUUCUUUUUCUUCAUUUUUCGGUCUCCCACUCCCAUUUGUAAGAAAAUGCGAAACAGUUAGUAGACAUAAUGAUGGAUGUGACUUUCCUUUUCUUUUCAUUUUCCCUCUUUUCCUCUACUCUUCGAAGCUUCCCUCUUCUUUUCCCUUCUCCUUUUUCUCUAUUCUCCGAAAUUUCCUCUAUUCUUUUUCCUUCUUCUUUUCUCUAUUCUCCGGAAUUUUCUCUCAUUCCCAACCCUUCCUUUUCUACAUUUCCUUUGUACUUUUCCUUCUCUCUACUCUCAGGAGUUUCCUUCUCAUUUUUCCCUCUCCUUUGACGCCAUUGUAUUAGGGCUAAGAUGUGGACAUGUUAUGUUCUGGAGAGGUGAAAAUUAUGGUCCCACAAAUCUAUUUUUCAAACAUUUAGCUUUUGAUCUAUUAGACCAACUCCAGCCCUUGGACCCAAACUCAAUUAUUUGGGUUUAAACGCAAAAUUUGCCACCUAAAGCUACGACUCAUACCUAUAAAUUUUCAAUGGUCCAAAUCAAACUCCCUUUUUUGGUCCAUCCUUUGAAAUUGAUCGAACAAUCCAUAUUUGUUUUUGUCACAUCCAACGGUAAAAACGACCUAAGGCUGAGAUUUAAAUUCAACGGUCAAAAUAAUAUGCAUAUUUGGUAUUGUGUAUUGAAGUUUGGUUGGUUGAUGUGUACAUUGAAGUUUGGUCGGUUAGUGGUUGAUUGGUGUAGUUUGUUUUGUUUUGGAAAUUUUGUCGGAAUUUAAAUUUUUUUAGGUUAAAACAUUCUUAAAACUAAAUUAAGAUAAUAUAACUCAAAAUUUCUCUAAAACAAUUAAUACAUUUUAAGUUCUGAAACUUAGGUUUGGAGGGUUGGGUGAUGUUCAUUGUUUACAAAGCUAAAUUCUGUCUUCUAGUUGACCCAAAUAUUUGAAUAUGGGUUCAAGGGUUGGAGGAGUUAGUCAUAACACUUAUCUUUUUAGUUUUGGCAGAGAUCUUCAAUUUUAAUUUGGGAUCACAUGUUUGUUAAUAUUAAAAGAAUAAAAUACUAUUUCAAACUGGGUCAAAUACUAGGAGAGGACAUGCAAAAAUGUACGGGGGUUGAUAUAGGAGACUACAUAAUGUGAAGAUAUAGGGGGUUGAAUGUAUCAGUAAAAAAAAAACCAAAAAAAACAAAAAAAAACCAAAAAAACAAAAAAAGAGGAAACCUAUACUCUCAAAUUUGUAUUGACGUGGAGCUGAUCAGUAAAUUGGAUCAAAAAGUUGGACUUGGAUUCUCUGCCCUCCCAAUUCGGUGUCCUCCUGUUUUGUGUGAUCACGGUUAAUUCAUGCUAACAUUUUAUAUUGUUUUUUAUAAAAAUAAUAAGACAAAAAAAAUAGUAAUAUAAAAUAUUGACGUGGCUUAACCGUGACCACACAAACAGGAGGGCACGGGGAGGGCACCGAAAUGGGAGGGCAGAGAAUCCAAGUCCCAAAAAGUUUCCAAUUUCACAUGUUUGCUAAAUGGAAUUAUAUUAAAGUAUUACAGUAGGAAAGCCUCAUUCAUUGUCUUAAGCAUGAAUUUGCAGAAGGACAACUUUGGUCCUAAUUCUUAUUUACAGUGUAAGGAGUUAUAGACAAAGAUGCAUAAGGUUCGAACAACUCUUUUUCUUUUCGAACAACUCCUUUUCUUUUAAUAUCAUUUACAUAAAAAAAAGCUAAUGAAAAGGAUCUCAAUUUUUUAUUUAUUUAUCCAAAAACACUUAAUGAAUUUUGUUUGAUUAAAAUGACAAAAGGCGGUGCCAGUACUGUAAAUAAGUUAAAAUUUAGGCGCAGUGACAAUAUUACAAUUAAGUGAAAAUUGUUUCUUCAUAAAACCGACAACUAUUUCUUCAAAAAAUUUAUUAAAAAAUCAUUAAUGUGUUUUUCAUUGAAAAUUUUGUUGUGUGAAACAUUUUCCAUUAAAACUCCCUUACAUAAAAUCAAACAGUACUUGAUCAAAAGAAAAAAAAAAAGAAAGAGUAUGCAAGGAAAAAGCUCUAGCAAGACAAAUGCAUGCAGAUAUGGUUGCAUAUGCUCAAAUCAAAAUCAAAUUGCUGCUUAAAUUUCCGCUCUGUUUAUCUUGUAUAUAGAAUACAAUGAUACGUUGGGUGGUCAUGCACGUGUUGUAGUUUUGGAUUUCAAGAAUUUGGAUGUUGGAAACAAGCUCGAACUUAUGUUGAACUUGGCCACUUUACAAGAAAACCCCAUUUGCUUUUGCAAACCCUAUUUUCUGGUAUCUCACACCCCCACAAUUUCUGAAAGCAUUUCCCUUGUAAUUCUUAUGUCUCUCGUACAAAGAAUAAAACCAUAAAGUUCUAUUUAUAUGUAUGGGCUUUAGUUACAAGAAAGGAAUCCCAUGAAAACCCCAAAACCUACUCUAAACAGACUUUGAAAACGCUGAACAACAAACAAGAAACACGCCAAACCAAUCGAUCAGUUGGCCAGACCGAUCGAGUUGGCCAAACCGAUCGAUUGCCGAGAAUUAACAAUUCCUCUUGUUGUGCUAUUGCUAUGAGCUGCUUGUUUUUGCUCUUACUGAUCGCUCGCUUGAUUGAUAGCACAUUCUAAAAACUUCAUCACAUUUUAGAUAGUGGAGCAACUCACAAUAUUACCUUAUCUAAUAAUUUGAAUCUUUUCCAGAGACGAGUAUUUCUAGAUUGGUAAUAGAGAUAAAGUACACUCACUUAUGAGCCAAGCUUUAUCGAACAAGUCGAACUAUCUCAUUAAAGAUAUGAGCUGUUCAUUAGCUUUAUCAGCUUAACAUACCCAAGCUCCAUAGGUACUCAUAUUUUUAACUAGUCUAGUAUUUCUUUUGAGCUCAACCCUUUCACUUAAAAACUGAGCAUAAACGAAUUACUUCGAGCAUAUUUACAAUCCCUACGUAUGGUGCUCACCUUAUGAAAAAUAUAUGGUUUUGUGUUUAAUGCAAAAAAGACUAACAUAAAACAAGCAUGCUAGGUCAAUUGCAUUCCGAAUCCACAAACAAAAGACAUCAAGCCAUAGUUGAGGGAUUGGAGGGAAACCGUUAUAAAAUUGCUUGGGAUACAUGGAAUAUGUCACCCUAUUUUAGGUAAGUACGUCUUUAUUAUUUAUUUAAGAGGUGUGGAGUUCGGGCUACCAGUACAAUGAGCCAAACAUCACAAUUUAGUUUUGAAUUAACCAUUUACAUGAGUUAGAACAUAAAAUCUAUCAUUUAUAAAUGAAGAAAAAUAUCAUUAGAUUGUAAUAGUAAAUACGUUGCUCUCGUUUUUUUUUUUGAACAAAUAUUAUCUACACUAAGGCCUCGUUUGACAGUUCGGACUAUACUGAUUAUUUCAGUCGGAUAUGAUUAAUAACCAUCAGAUAGUAUCGAUUAAUUAGUCGAACGUUUGGUGCAAUAUCGGACUAAGACUGUAUUAUUUAUAUUGUAUUUGGUAUACAACAUUUCUUGAAUACAAUUUCAGCAAUAUACAUAUGAAUUUAAGCAGAACUCCAAAAAAAUUACAAAAAUUUAUGGAAAAAUCCAACAUUUAGGACCCUUGUAAAAUCCAUAAACAAAUCAACCAAAAACAAAAAUGCCAAAAAUAAAUAUUUUUAAUGGUUGGAGCCCAGAAAUUAAAUAUUUUCAAGCUUCCUUCCUUGUCUUCGUCCUUCUCGUUGAAGCCCAGAAAUCGACCAUAAUCAGGGAAAGUCAAGCUCCUUUCCUCGGCUUCGUCCUUCUCGGCAGAGCCCAGAUGCAAAUUGUUAUCCCUCUACUUGUCGGAGCCCAGCCCCUUCCUCGUCGGAGCCUAGAUAGGAAGAAUUUGAAUCAUUGUCUUCCUCCUUCAACCCAUGGAAAGUUUGAUUAAAAUUGUUGUUGUCAGAGAUCGAAGGUGAACAGAGGAGGUGGGAGGUGUGUGUGUAAAGGAGAAGGGAGGAAUAAAGAGAGAAAAAGAAGAAGACGAUGGAGACGAACCUGCUAUCCAUACGAGAGAGCGAGCAAGAGAUGCGAGAGUGGAAGGAGAGCGUUGCGAGUGGGACUUGGAUUGUCUGCCCUCCUAGUCGUGGAUGCGCUUCUAUUUUGUGCGGUCACGGUUAAACCACGUUAAUAUUUUAUAUUAAUUUUUUAAUAAGAUAAUAAGAUAAAAAAUAAUUAAAAUAUAAAAUAUUAACAUGGCUUAACCAUGAUCGCAUAAAAUAGGAGAGCAUAGAAAGGCACCACGACUAAAAGGGCAAACAAUCUUUGUCCUUGCGAGUGAGGGACAGAGUGAGCGAGAGGAUCCCACCAGACUAAUAAUACAUAGGUUUUAGACGAGAUAAAUAAUCGGGUGUGAGGGAUAUAAAAUAAGUGGGGCCAAAUUAAAUAGUCUGAUGCUUAUUUCAUAUGAAGCUCACCAAACAUCCGUUUUGUAUUAUUAAUAUUAUCCUGUGGUAUUAUAUGGUGUGUCAAACAAGGCCUAAGGGGGAGAUGGUAGAAGUAAAAAAGAAUACCAUUAGACCACAAUACUAAAUGACAAUAAGUUGAUCUCGGUGAACGUGAAAAAAAGUGUUAAUCAAAUAAGACAGACCUGGCUUAAUCAAAUAUUGGCCUAACUAGUGCGUGAAGCCCAUUUAAGGCCCAAAUGCCAGCCUGGUAUUAAGCACCCCCAAAACCCAAGCCCUCUAGCUUCUUCUCAGACCCCUCUGCUCCUCUCACAACUCUCACUGUCUUUCUUCUCAUACCCAACUUUUAUUAUUUUUGUUUAAAUAAACAUAAAUGAAGUAAUAAAUUUUGGCAUACCGGUAGAAGGAAAAUUGACAAUAUGUCAAAUUACCAAAUCAGCCAUCAAAUUUAAAUUUGAUGUUUUGAUUUUAACAUCUUCUUUGGAGAUGCUUACCUUUUGAUUUUGAAAGGACGACUUUACUCUCUUUAUUUAAUGAAAGAUUAACAAAAGUUUAGAUUUGAACUUUAAUUGCUAGCUGAGCUUACCACGAAGGUUUAAUUAACAACUUUUUCACUACAAAUGUCGCAUUGAAAGUACGAUAUCACUAGGGGUGGGUUGGAAAAAUCGAAAACUGAAAAAAAUCGGACCGAAAACCGAACCGAGACCGAAAAAAACCGAACCGAAGCUGUUGAACCGAACCGAACCGAAGCUGUCUGGUUCGGUUUCGGUUUCUGAGGUUCGGAAACCGAACCGAACCGAACUUAACCGAAGUCUUCAAAACGACGUCGUUUUAUGCUAUUUUAUUAAUUAAUAAUCCUAAUUCUAAUACGCCACCGUUUUACCGAGUGUAACCUAAACCUAGGUCCAGUCCUCCUCUCUCGGUCUCGCCUGUUUUCGCAUUCCCAAUUCGCGCAGCCCCUCCCUUCCUCCCUCCUCUCAAACUCUAUCUCUUUGCUCUCAUUCCCAGCGGCGGUGACUGAGAAUUCACCCAAAGCCAAACCUCUAAAGCCCGAGUCUGACUCUCAAAACUCUGUCUCUCAAAUUCUGUCUCUCAAAAGGUUAGUACUCUCGACUACACUCUCACGUUUAAUUUUCUGCUGUAGAUUCAAACCAAACCUCUAAACCCGAGUCUUAAACAGGUCAGAGCACUGGAAGUGACUGAGGAUUCUCUAUUAUUUCUCCCAUCAGCAAUUGGCACUGGGCGAGUUAGCACUGGAAGUGACUCAGGUGCUUAAAAAAUUCUCUCUUAUUUCUUGUUUGAAAACUUCGAUUGAAACCCAUGACCCAUCUGUUUCCCCCAAUUCAUGUCUUCAUUCAAUUUGUUUAAAAUUAGGGUUGUUGAAGACGAGAUUGAAAGAGUUCGAAAAGCGGGAAUUUCUCGGUGGAUUUAAGAACAGUGAGUUUGUGGAGAAAUUCAAGUCCAGCUUGGUAUGUUCUCUCUACCUUCAUUUCGAAAUUUGUUGCUUUCGGCUUUGAGUUUUCAUAGCAAUUGAAUUUGUUAACUUUGCAUUUUGAUUGCUACAUUUACCAAUUUGGGUUUACAGCACUAGGCCAGGUAGAGGUAGGCGUAGAUGGAUUGGGGGUUUGGGGUUGAUCUUGUAAAUUACUGUAUGAUUAGCCUGUAGUUUUAGGGUUCCUAGACUUGCUCAAACUUCCAAUUUUCAUCUGAUGUGCACUGUCUACAGAUCUUGCCAGAUUUCAAAUUAGAUUUUUGGGUCUCUUGGUUAAUCUUGAUUUUUCCUAUUUUAUUUGUUCCUUCUUUUUGGAUGUGCUAAUUCCUGGUUUUUGUUUCUUCCAUGCAAUUUUAUAUAACUACAGAAAGGAAUACCCAACGUACUAUUAGCAUUAGACUUGUGGGAAACAUGUGCUUUUAAAAUCAAAAGCAGUAACAUAACACCAAGAGACUGCAUAUUCAGUAACCAUAGAAAGAACAAAAACAAGUCAACAAAUGAAAAAAAAAACGACAAGUAUACGUUUCCAAUCUAGUAACCUGUUGAUCUUAUAAUGGGUUAUAACCUGUGACUUCUUUCUUCUACAAAAGAUGCCUCACCUCGGUAGAUCUCACACGGCAUUUCUACUCCCUGGGAAAACAAAUGUUUGAGAAAUGAAUCAGUUAACAAGCUGAAUAAGCUGCAUGCUAUCAAAUAAAUGCUAAGUUGCAUGCUUGCUUUACAUCACGUUGUUUCUUUUUUUAUUUGUAUGUAGAAAUGACAAGUGGAAGCUCAAAUAAAGGUGCUAUGUUGCCUCCUAGGCCGCCUAAGCGUUGAACUUGAGGACUUGGAAGAUUUUAUUUGUGCAAGACAUGAAGUGAUGAAACUUUGAAGGUUUAUUUGACUUGUGUGAUGUUUAUUUUAAAUUUGGACUUUUUAAAGACUUAAACUUUCAUGUUUAUUUAAGUUUGGACUUUGGAAAUUGGAAUUUGGAAGACUUGGAUUCUCAUUCUCAUCAUGGUUUUGUUGUUGUAAAUAUGUUAUUUCCCGAAGUUGGACCGUGGAUGGAGAAUGUGAGCUUUUAUAUUUCAAAUUUUUUAUUUUUUGGAGACAGAAAAAAAAAAAACAGAAAAAAAACCGAAACCGAACCGAAAUAACCGAACCGAAAAAAAACCGAAAAAAUGUGAACCGAACCGAACCGAAAUUUCGGUUCGGUUUCGGUUUUAGGAAAAAACCGAACCGGUGGGAACCGAACCCACCCCUAGAUAUCACCACAGAGACCACAAAAAAAAAAUUCAGCCAUUAAAUUUUUAGUGUCAAUAAGUUUCCUUAGAUUACUAAUACUGCUGUUCCAAAAUCGUAAACACACUUGUCAAACUUCAUUAAUAUUAUGUCUUAUUUACUGCGCUAUUGUAAUUACAAUUGCUGACGGUAACUGUGGUGUACCAUACCAUCCAUAAGGUCUAUAGCAGACAAUAACAGUCACCUCUUAUCUCGAGCAGAAAUGGAUAGAUAGCAAUUUAUCAAAAUCCUUCAUUUACAGAGAGCUCCAACAAUGGCUACAAGCACCACACCCUCGUCCCUCAUGCUAACGUACGCCUCCUCCUACGGGCACCCACAAGACAUCACUCCCUCCCUCGUCUCCUUCCAGCCCAAGCCCCUCUUCAAAACCUUCUGCCUCUGCCCGCUGGCUCUGAGGCCUCGCGAGAUAAAACCAAGCAAAUGGGCCAAUUCCGAGCCUCACCGAGUGCCCGCGGCGGCUCUGACGGCGGAGGCAGAGGUGGCUGAGGAUGUGGAUGAGAACGAAGAAGUGAAAGGAGGUGAUGGGUCUGCUGCUGUUGCUGUUUCUUCAAAGCCCAAGAAGGGGAAGGCUGCAUUGCUUUUGAAGAGAGACAGAGUGAGUCUUUUUCCGGUUUUUCUUCUGCAAGUUCGGAUUUUUCAUUGUUUUGGGGGUAAAAUUUGAUUAUUUGGGUUACCUCGUUGGUGGGUUUUGCUUAUUUUUGGUUUUGAUUGCGGUUUUGGGAUUCAAAUUUCAUGUGUUGUUCUUACAUUUAGUUUUUAGUUUGAUGAACAUCGGUUAAUUUAGCUAAUACUUGUUUGUUAUACUAAUUUAAAUUCUAAAAAUUAAGGAUUGAUUUGAGUAAUUAAGGUCAUUUCGUUAUCUUGGAGAAGAGACUAGUUCUGCAAAAUUUGAUAUUUACAUCCUUCAAGUUUGAUGGUUUUCUUAUGGUUUUGCAUAAUUAUAAAGAUGGAGAAUGCUCCGAAGUUGCAUUUGAUAAUCAUGUUCUAGUUUCUUUUUAUGUUUAUCAUUUAUGUUGUUAGAUAUAAUCCUGCAAUGUCUUAUUUUUAAGUUCUUCCAAGAUAUCGGUAGUGAUUCAAGUGCUCGGGUGUCUUCUUUUGUAAAUGUCAGACAAGGUCCAAAAGAUUCUUGGAAAUUCAGAAAUUGAGGGAAACCAAAAAAGAGUAUGCGCUGCAGCCUGCCAUUGCUUUACUGAAAGAAAUGACGAAUACGAAAUUUGUAGAAACUGCUGAAGCCCAUUUCCGCCUCAAUAUUGACCCAAAAUAUAAUGACCAACAGCUAAGAGCAACUGUGAGUUUUCUGAUCUUGUUGGUCAGAGAUAUGUUUAGUUAUCAAUGCUUAGCACUAUAUUGUAUCCUUUCAUUUAUUGUGGAAUUCUUCUACUAGGUAAACCUGCCCAAGGGAACCGGACAGACUGUUAAAGUGGCUGUUCUUACUCAAGGUAGUUACGAUUCUCAAUUUCUCACCUCUGCACUACUGUCCUUAGUGGAGAAAGAGUAAUUAUAUCUGUCAUUCAGUAUGAGCUAAGGAGAUGUAUAAAGUAAUCAACGUAUUUGAACCUAGUGGAUACAAGUUGAAGAUUUCAACCUAGAGAAUAAAAAGUACAGAAGCAUAACUAUGCAGGCAAUUUCCGCAUUAGCAUGUAUUAGGUAGGUGUCCAUUAUUCUGAAAAUAUGUUAUUUGAAUUCUCUAUAGGUAAUUGUUUUGUCAAUUAAGCGUAAAAGGCGAAAACAAGUAACACCUUUACUGAGUGGUGUUUUGUGCUCUUUAUGCUAUUACCUUGGUUGAUAAGAACAGAAGAAAUACUUUCUUGGCUGAAUCUAGGCAUCUCUAAGUGUUUUUUAUUUUCUGCCAAGGGGACAUUUUGCAAAUGAAUUAGUUGGAGGGUUUAGUAUAGUAUUCUCAUUUCUUCCAUGAACCGGUCUUGAAAUGAUUGAUGAGACGUUGUUCCUCUACUCUUGGUGAAUUUUCUGUACCUGCCAAUUUCUAGUUAGUGUAUCAUACUCCUUAUUGAACUUCAAAUUGGAUUGGAUCAUUACCAUUUCUCUUGUAUGCAGUCUUAAUAGUUUUUCAUGUAAGGUAUAGUCACUUUCUUCUCUGAGUUUAAAUUUUCCUAUACUUUCUUCUUCCUGAUAACAAGGCGAUCUCUAAGUCAUUUGAGUCCAAAGGAGGUUUAUAUAUUUUUUAGUAAUUAUAAGGUUUUUCUUAGAGGUCGCACUUGGUGCGAUGGCAAGUGCCUUCGCCCAUGAGCAGUAGGUCUCGGGU